UCUCUGAGGACGCCGGCCCACCUCCCUCGGGGGUUCCCAGCCGGGCGCCGGGGACGGACCCGCGCGGCCCUCGUCUACACCGCCCCCGGACGCCGGGGUCCGGCCGACAGCGCGGGCUUAGCGGGCAGCGGGCCUCGGACUGGUGCUGUUUGACCGCCUUCCCCUUGAGCUGGCUCCCGACGGGGAGGCAGCAGGUGGACCCGUCUUAAAGGACAGGACGAGUCUGGUGACAGCCCGAGUCGAGGGCUCCCAGGGCUGCCCGGAUCAGGUGGAGCGGUCCUUAGAGCAGACGCGGAAGACAGCCCGCGGCCACGCGGGCCGGGUGGGAGGAGAGGGCGCAGCCCGGAGCUGCAGGGGACAAAGCAGGCCUGCUGGGGCCUUGCCCUUCUCGGUUCUUAUCUUGUGGCCCAGAGGUGGACGGCUGGCUUAAAGAAAGAGGACCAGGCCAGCUCCUCUGUGGAGCUGACAGGCUCCUCCGGCGACCGUCACAGGCAGGGCUGCCAGAUACAACACAGGACACCAGUCAAACCUGAAUUUCAGAUCGACAAGCUGGCUGGCAGUCCUAUCCCAGGCAACAGAGAAGGUCCCACCUUCAGCAUCACACUCCUCAUCAGCUCUCAAUAAAGACCCCCACGAAGGAGGAAAGAUCCACAGGGCUGCAGAGAGAAGCAGGAAUGUGGGAACAGGCAGAAACGUGGUAAAGUAAGCUCCCUCUCCUGCCUCAAACAGCUUGAAGGUCAUGGUGAUGACAGCCCUUUAGAAACUCAACGCAAACGGUCCUUUUCUCCAGACCACAUCCUGGGACACAGGAAGCUCUUGAAAGUCUCAAAGCGGGACGCUGACCCAACCGGACUGCACUUUGAUGAAGACCAAGCCUGCAGCUGAGGAGGAGCGAGGUGAGGAGUGCAGCACAGUGGAGGGGAGCCCGAGGACCGGAAGGCGAGUGAGGGCACUGCUGCGUAAAUCCAGGUCUGCAGUCUCUCCGAGGUUGCCUUUUAUGCACAGUGUGAGAUGUCAUCUAACGACCACCACAAUGGAGAUACCGAAUGUUCCAUCAGACACUCCCCUGGCCCCAGAACUUAAACCAGCAGAGGGAGACAGAUCCCCAGCAGAGCACAGUGGAAAACGUUUUCCAAUUUCCUGCGUCCUCCCGGUGUCCCUGCCUUCUCCACGGUCUCCUGGGCUGAUCUUGCCGCUUCCAGAGCCCUUCCUACUGUCUCCCUCCAACCGAAGCUUAGAUUCGUGAGCUGACUCCUUCGGGCACACAGGGUAGCUUGCUGGCUCAUCUGGCGGAAGAGAGGAGGCCUUCUGAACGCAAGCCCUCCCGGGAAACCGGUUCGCACGUAACAAGGAACUUGGAUGCUGAAACCCAGAGUCUUGAAGAGAGAAUUGUAGACACUGAGGCAGAGGAGAUGUUUGGAAGGGGCUUUCGGUCUGAGACUUUUCCAGAUCCCUCAGCUCACAGCGGCACAGAGGCCUGCACCCUGCUUCCGUUCUGAGAGCGCGUUCCCGCUUCCCAUGCAACCUCAGCAACCUCAGCCUGUGUCUGGGAAGAAGCUGCCCUCGGCCUCUUCCUUCCAGAAAACAGCAGGCUGUUUUGUUGUUUGGUUGUCUCUCACACGUCCAGUUCCUCCAGAGCUUCCGGACCCCUUUUCCUUGGCUCCCGAAGGGAGCACCUGGAAUGUUCACACUCUACCUGGAGAACCGCGCUGUCUCCUCGGGCAUUUCUGCUGCACAGGAGAGAAAAAGCUAGUUCAUUUAAGCCAAAAACUUAAGUAGGGACUGGAUUCAAAAACAAGCCUUUCUCAAAAAAAAACACCUCCUCCUUUGCCUGUGGUUACUAGAGGCAAGUCAUGAGCCUCUUUUGCAGAUAGCGCUUGAAUUAUUGGUCUGGUUCUAACAACUGGCACUUUCCAGCAGGACGUUAGGGAGUGAAGUGUGUGCACCAUGAUAGAAGACGGUUUGGAAGCCACCCUAGACAAGGAGGGCUGAGCCUGCAGGAAGGAAGUUGUGAAGGGUCACCGCCCAGCACGGGACUGCACUUAUUCUCUGCCGCUCCAGAGAGCCAAGCGAGAACCAGCAGCUGGUCUUGGGCAUGCGGCAUAAGGGAAGAUGGUGGGGAAGUGGUCCGUGGAGAAGUGGUGCAGCCAGGGGAAACUAGUGCAGCUGGAGUCUGACUCCAGCAAGGGCUUCUUAGCACCCAAAGCCCGGCCUGAGAGAAUGUGGUAAACAGCAUGAUUCGGGCAGCCACUGGCAUCGAGUGAUCCAACCCAGUGGGUGGGCAAAGCAGCAAGGGAUGCUAGGCAGCAUUUCAGAAGUCCUUCCUCAAGGGACCAUAACAGCUAACGUAGGGAGUGUGGGGGCAGGACGCAACAGGAUGAAGGUAUGGCCCCAGUACCUAAUCACCACCCAAGUUCUGGACAAGGCCCCAGUCACAGGGGGAAGCUGGGGAACAGCACAGAAACUAAGUGAGCAGAUCCUUGGUUAAAGCCAACCCCCACAGACUUGGCUAGUGGAAUGGGCUGGGGAGGGAGGGAGGAGAAGCAUAAGGAGGGCUCGGGUUCGAGGUCACUUCAUGGGGCCCAGGAUGCACCAGGCCCAUGGUGUGCUGGCCGUGGAGGGGUCUGGCAGUGCAUGUGGGCCCGUGAAUGAGACGUAGUGUGUGGAGUUGAGGAAGAGACAACAAAGCGGGGCUGAUGGAGAGGCUACCUGAGGAGAUGCGGGUGAUGAAGGAUCGGGAAAGCUCGUGCAGAGACCAGUGCCCUGCUGGGAGGGGAGCUUUCAGUGUGAGAGGGUUAACCGCUUGGCCUUUAAGGCCCAAGCCAGCUCUAAUGCACUGAUCCUACGGGGCCCGUGAGACACAAGGCCUGGGAACCACCCUCUCCAGGUGCUCCCUGUCUAUACUCAACUGUCCGUCCUCCUCCUUGUUUGGAAUCGAGUGUUUCAAGAACAGGUUCCCUUGGCAAUCUAGUUAGAAUGUUGUCAGGCCAGCUUGUACUCCACCCCAGCAUCUCGCAGUCUCUCCAAACUGGGGUCUCUUGGCCUCCCUUGUGGGUGCAGCCCUGUCGCAGCCUCCAGGCUCCGCUCUGCGGCAGCAGGUGCACAGAACAGCAGAGCUAGUUCGGGCUCGUCUGGUGUCCGCUUCUGAUGUGUGAACUUGCUCCUGUUUCUGAGACUUGCGGACUCCGCUGGGGUUAACUGGGGAUUUGCCUUGCUUCUCAUACUCGGAUCUGUUAUGGAAACCCUGGGCCUUGGCUUGCACAUCCCAGGCUCGGUAGCUGGGCCCUGAUAUCUGCUGACUCCUUUUCCUGAUGGCAGCUUCUGCUUGUCCAAACUGCUGAGCGUCCCGUGCCUCCAGUCAUCCUGAUAGGCUUACCUGCAGCCUACUCCUCAGUACAUAUAUGCUGUUCUGCUGUUCUAGCAUCACUGUCGCUGGUGCACCCAUCUCCCAGGUUCUGACUGUGUCCCGAAAGUAGAGCCAGCAUGUGGGCUGUGAGAGAAAGAGAUGAGCAAAGAAAAAUUCCAAGGUUUUUGGCUUGGAAAACCGGAAGGAAGGAGUUGCCGACCGAGAUGGGCAAGGCUGUAAGUAGAACACGUGUGGGGGAUUAGCAGUUCAGUUUUGACUCGCUAAGUCAGAGAUGUCCAUUAGCCAUCCUGGGAUGGAGCCUGAGUUGGCCACUGGACAUAUUCCUCUGGAGUGUGGGGGAGAGGCCUGGACUGGAUGUUGUUGUUUUGGACAUUGUUGGCACAUAGAUGGCAUUUAAGACAUUGCGCUGGGUGAGAUCACCAAUGGGUUGACAUAGAUACAAAAAAGAAAAAGUCCGAGACAUUCCUGCAUUAAAAGAUUGGGAAGAAGAGGAGGAACCAACAAAGAAGACCGCUUACUGGAAAGUGCCUGCUUUUUCCAGCAAAUAAUUAGUAACCAUGACCAUAGAUGACCACAGAUGUGCGUUAGGACCUGAGCAGUUUUUCUCUUUGUGUGUUUGUUUAUAGCGUGCCUCACUUUACACACAGACAAGACGGCACAUACUCACCAUCAGCAAAGGUCCUUUUCAAUAUUUCCUACCGCAGACGGGGGUUGGCUCCACGGCUCCCUCAUUUUCUCUCAUGUGGGGUCGGCGGUGUGCGUCGGCGGUAAGACGCCGCGGAGGCAGAAGCAGAGACUGUCCCGGGAGCGGUGCGGUGCAUAGCGUCACAUCGGAUGGAAUACGCGGUUUAAGAAGAAUCUUCCCUCUGCAAACACGCUCGCCGAUCACACCUGCGGGGGGCCUGGCUUUCUGUGGUUCACAUAUUCUUCAUCCGCAUUCAACUUUUCCUUUAACGUGAGAGUACUUCUGCUGCAUCAGUGACCUCCUUGGGCCAAAUGUUAAGUACAGUUUAUGCUAAGCCAGUUUAUUUCUGCUAAAAGUAGACCUCUGCUUAUCAUGUCUGUCCUUUCUUCCCUCGAAGACAGACAAACGAAUAAAGCCAGCCACCUCGAGAAGCUGAUGCUCUCGGCACAGGGCUGAGUGCUAUGCUAGGAACAGUUCCAUCUGCUAAAUGCCUACACAGGGCUGGUAGUAAAAAUCACAGCAAAUUUCCAUCUUUUCCUGCAACACCCAAGUCCUUCCAAGGAAACUCCCCAUCCGGCCACAUGAGAUAAAAUUAGAAACCUGCUAACUUUGCUGCCUCCCCAGGACUGCUAACUUCAACAGAGGCUGCAUUUCUUCAAUUACGGAACUAUAAACAGUAAGCUAAUAACAACGGAGAAGAGGAAAACAACAAUAAA
rnacentral:lncRNA from 1 species